rnacentral:lncRNA from 1 species
AUGUCAAAAAUAAACACAUCCAAGUCUGGGUCUCACUCUUCUCACUCAAGGUCCGCAUCCAGAUCUUGGACUUAUUCAUGUCCAAAGUCUGGUUCCUGAAGAUGAUCUGUCUCUCAUCCAAGGAGGCACAGGCUGUGUUCUAGGUCUAGUUCCAGAUCAUAUUCUGUAGGUCAUAACAGACAUAGGAAUCACCCCAGAGUAUAUCAGAAUCGAGAUUUCUGAGGUCACAACAGAGGUUACAGGAGGCCCUGAUACUUCCGUGGGUGAAACCCAGGGUUUUAUUCAUGGAGCCAGUAAAAGUGAGGUGGCUAUGGAAACUACCGCCCCAACUGGCAGAGCUACAGGCAAGCAUACAGCCCUAGUCAUUCUCAUCCUGGUUCCCAAAGAGAAGGUCCCCUUCAUCACAGUCCAGAAGUCAUUCUAGGACUCUGAUAAGUCAUCCUCUGACAGGUCAAGAUGUUCCUCAUCCUCCUGGUCAUCCUCUAACCACAGCAGAGUUGAGUCAUCUAAGCUAAAGUCUACAAAAGAUAAAAAGCCCUUUUCCAAGGAUAGCCGGCCAUCUUAGGCAGCUGGUGAUAACCAGGGAGAUGAGGUUAAGGCAGACAUUCUCUGGACGAACCUCUCAAGAUAUAAAAUGGUCUGAGAGCAAAAAGACAUGGGCAGGUGGUAACACCUAUGACACUAGUUAUGUAUCACAGGCCUCCAUGUCUGAUCUAGGUCCCUGGAGAGAGAAGUCCAACUCUCAAUACCCCCCCUCCAGUCUGUGGUGGUUAGGUUAAGGCCACUAGGCCCUAGCCCUGGGCCAAAACCUAGUCCUCCACUUUCUAAUGCUUCCCAGGUAGGCUCAUCUAUGUCAAGUGGUACUGGGUAUCAGUCUAGAGCACACCAAGGUCAGUUCGACCAUGGCUCUGGGUCUUUGAGUCCAUCCAAAAAGAACCCUGUAGGUAAGAGUCCACCAGUCACUAGCUCUGUAUGUAGUUCAUCUCAGAAAGAGGAGAGUGCUGCUUCAGGAAGAACAGCAUCCUCAAAAAGGUAUCUGGAAGAGCAGAAGAUAAAGAAUGGGAAGGAUAAGCAACAGAAACAAACAAAUGCCGAUAAAGAGAAGCUGAAGGAGAAAGGGGGCUUCUCUGAUACUGAUAUCAAAAUGAAAUCUGAUCCAUUUGCUCCCAAGACAGACACUGAGAAGCCUUCUGAGGCAGCCAGUCUCCCAAAAGAUAUAAGUUCCGGGAUGUCUUUGAGAAAAAGAUGUGACAAGCUGGGAAACAAAGGAGACUUUUCCUGAGGGAAGACUUCCCCUUUACUCAGGAGGCCCAGGGUAAUGUCCAGACAGACUUCUUCGAUGAGGACCUUGCAUGACUGAGUGGCUCAUUGGCUCUGGAAUGAAAGACUUGUUGGGAUCAAGUCCAUAGCAACAAAAAGUAGUGGGAAUUCCAUUCCAUUGUCCAGCACAUACAGUCAACUCAGUCUCAGCGUAGCCCCUCAAGAAUUGUUUGCCCAGAACAUAGUGACGAUUGUUCAUCAUGUUAAAGAGCAUCAUCACUUUGCAUCCUCUGAAGUGCCAUUCUGUACAUGCUUUACUAAAUACCUAUAGAGAGGAAAUGAAAAAGAAGCAGCUAAAAAUAAGCAAAGCCCAGAGAUUUACAGGAGGAUAGAUUCAGAAAACAUGGCUUGACUCAUGAGGAAUUGAAAAGUCCUCGAGAAACUGGCUACAAGGCUAAGGGAAAUAAAAAGAUGAUCCUGUUGAUCUUCACCUUGAUAUUGAACAUCAUAAUAAAUAUAAGGAAAGAGAUCUUAUACGGGGUAAAUCAAAAGUCGGUGGAUUCCAGAGACUCUAGCCACACAAGAGAAUGAUCAACUGAAAAGAAAGAGAAAACCCACAAAGGAUCAAAGAAACAGAAGCACUGCAGAGCAAGAGAGGUGUCUGUCUGGGUCCUCCUCCUCCUGUUCCGAGUCAUCUCAUUCCUACAAAGCAAAGGAAGCAGAGGAAGGGGAGGAGAACACCACAGGUUUUGGCAAAUCCAGAUUAAGAACCAAAGACUUCGUGGGUCUGAAUGAAAGAGGCAGCAGAGCUCGGGGAACCUCUUAACUUCCAGCAAGAGGGGCAGGUUUGGGCAGAGGAAACUAUUUUGGUAACAAUGACAACAACAUCAACAAUGAUGUUCAAAAAGAGAAGCUGGGAAGAAGAAGGGGAUCCAUAGUUAAUACUCAAGAGCAAGAAGUAUUGCACGAGGAAUAGGAAGGCGAGGGCAGUGACAAAUGGAUAAGCAGAGGCCACAAGGAGCCUUUUCCUGAGGCGGGGCGGGGGUGUGUGUGUCAUGUUUUGGAAGUCCAGUACCAGCCCCAAGUGGACCCAUGGCAAGUUCAGUGGGGAGAAGAAAGAGAUUGAAGAUUAUGAGAGUAUGACAAAGAACAGAAAAUAGGAGGACAGUUUACAGUCCUCAGCAGAGUAG